rnacentral:rRNA from 1 species
GUGGCAGGGCAUGUCUAUAAUGCAGUCGAGCGAACGGACGAGAAGCUUGCUUCUCUGAUGUUAGCGGCGGACGGGUGAGUAACACGUGGAUAACCUACCUAUAAGACUGGGAUAACUUCGGGAAACCGGAGCUAAUACCGGAUAAUAUUUUGAACCGCAUGGUUCAAAAGUGAAAGACGGUCUUGCUGUCACUUAUAGAUGGAUCCGCGCUGCAUUAGCUAGUUGGUAAGGUAACGGCUUACCAAGGCAACGAUGCAUAGCCGACCUGAGAGGGUGAUCGGCCACACUGGAACUGAGACACGGUCCAGACUCCUACGGGAGGCAGCAGUAGGGAAUCUUCCGCAAUGGGCGAAAGCCUGACGGAGCAACGCCGCGUGAGUGAUGAAGGUCUUCGGAUCGUAAAACUCUGUUAUUAGGGAAGAACAUAUGUGUAAGUAACUGUGCACAUCUUGACGGUACCUAAUCAGAAAGCCACGGCUAACUACGUGCCAGCAGCCGCGGUAAUACGUAGGUGGCAAGCGUUAUCCGGAAUUAUUGGGCGUAAAGCGCGCGUAGGCGGUUUUUUAAGUCUGAUGUGAAAGCCCACGGCUCAACCGUGGAGGGUCAUUGGAAACUGGAAAACUUGAGUGCAGAAGAGGAAAGUGGAAUUCCAUGUGUAGCGGUGAAAUGCGCAGAGAUAUGGAGGAACACCAGUGGCGAAGGCGACUUUCUGGUCUGUAACUGACGCUGAUGUGCGAAAGCGUGGGGAUCAAACAGGAUUAGAUACCCUGGUAGUCCACGCCGUAAACGAUGAGUGCUAAGUGUUAGGGGUUUCCGCCCCUUAGUGCUGCAGCUAACGCAUUAAGCACUCCGCCUGGGGAGUACGACCGCAAGGUUGAAACUCAAGAAAAUUUGGACCGG